rnacentral:rRNA from 1 species
GAUGAACGCUGGCGGCGUGCCUAAUACAUGCAAGUCGAGCGAACAGACGAGGAGCUUGCUCCUCUGACGUUAGCGGCGGACGGGUGAGUAACACGUGGAUAACCUACCUAUAAGACUGGGAUAACUUCGGGAAGCAGGAGCUAAUACCGGAUAAUAUAUUGAACCGCAUGGUUCAAUAGUUCAAGACGGUUUUGCUGUCUCUUAUAGAUGGAUCCGCGCCGCAUUAGCUAGUUGGUAAGGUAACGGCUUACCAAGGCUACGAUGCGUAGCCGACCUGAGAGGGUGAUCGGCCACACUGGAACUGAGACACGGUCCAGACUCCUACGGGAGGCAGCAGUAGGGAAUCUUCCGCAAUGGGCGAAAGCCUGACGGAGCCACGCCGCGUGAGUGAUGAAGGUCUUCGGAUCGUAAAACUCUGUUAUUAGGGAAGAACAAAUGUGUAAGUAACUAUGCACGUCUUGACGGUACCUAAUGAGAAAGCCACGGCUAACUACGUG